rnacentral:tRNA from 1 species
GGCCGGAUGAUGGAAGUGGUAGACAUGACAGACUUAAAAUCUGUUGGACAGUAUUGUCCGUGUGGGUUCAAGUCCCACUCCGGCUAC